ACUGACCUCAUCUUCCUCUCUUCAUCCCUGGCCCCACAGGUAACAACUCACAGUGGCCAGAGGGGAAAGAAAAGACCAUUGCCCCCUUUUCUCACCUCCGCCUUAUAUUUCUUAUCCUUUCAACCAGAAGGACUUUAUUUUCUUCUCGACCAUCCCAGUCCUGGAUUCCAAAAGAAUCUGAGGUUAGCAGGCCUGCAAGUCCCUCAGUCAUGACCAACCAAAGACAGUAAUUUACAGGUCCAGGAUGGGUUUGGAAGUACUGGAGGUAUGUUUAUGGCUCACAAACGAAAUCAGAAAUAUCUGGAAAAGCUCAGUAGAUCUGGCAACAUCUGUGGAGAGAACUCCAAAUUAACCUUUUAGGUCCAGUGACACUUCCUCAGACUCUGGCUGCCUGCCUUUCUCUUACCGUAUUGGGUACGUCCCACUCAUCUUGUAGAGGGAGCAGGUGACAAUCAUCGAUAACCAUGAUGCUUCCACAACUGCUAGGCUCACCUGAGAGAUCGAGCUGCCAGACCUGCUGACUUCCUCUAGCUGUGCUGGUUUCAGUGCACUGGACCUGCCUCUCUCUCCUGAUGUCCAAAUUAAAUACUUGAAAGCCACCAUAAUCUAUUUUCAAGAUGAUUAGCUUGUGAUGAGCCUGGAACAAUAGCCCCUCAUAUUGCUGAUAGAACUUGCUGACCGGUCUUUGCAUGAUGUCAGCUUCUUCUUUAAGUCUAACCACCGCUGUAAUUCAUUGGUUAAGUAAAUGUACAGAACAACAGUGAUGAUCAUAUUUCCUCUGUAAUACUUAACUAUAGUAAUGAUAUAAAAAUAGACACACCAUUUUAGAUUAGAUUACUUACAAUGUGGAAACAGGCCCUUCGGC